rnacentral:rRNA from 1 species
UCUUAGCAACCGAUUUGGUCCUAGUCCUUCUCUUGGUCCCCUCUAAAACGAUACAUGCAAGUUAAUCGCAACACAGUGAGUAACCAACCAGGGCUAUUCUCAAAAGAAGUAAACCCACAAAACAAGGUAUCAGAAAAUCUCCUCAAUUCUACAACACCUAGCCAACCACACCUGCAGUACCUAACAUUAUACAAUAAGCAAAAGCUUGAUAUAGUUAUAGAUUUAAGAGUUGGUUAAUUAUGUGCCAGCCACCGCGGUUAUACAUAAAACUCAAACCAAGAAAAUUGUCGGUCUAAAGGUGACCAGAGAUAAAAAUUUUUUGGGGUAGAAAAAAACUUCAGUAUUAACAAACUUCUACAGUAAACUAAUUACAACUACAACACCACCCCAAACUUACAUAACUCAAAACACCAAAGCUCAAAAAUAAACUGGGAUUAGAUACCCCACUAUAUGAGCCGUAAAAAAUCAACAACACCAGAGAA